UGGUUGCUUUCUAAAUGAUGGACAAUGU
rnacentral:piRNA from 1 species